GACGAACGCUGGCGGCGUGCUUAACACAUGCAAGUCGAACGGAAAGGCCCUGCUUGCAGGGUACUCGAGUGGCGAACGGGUGAGUAACACGCGGGUGAUCUGCCCUGCACUUCGGGAUAAGCCUGGGCAACUGGGUCUAACACCGGAUAGGAGCCAUUUUUAGUGUGAUGGUUGGAAAGUGUUUUGGGUGUAGGAUGAGCUCGCGGCCUAUCAGCUUGUUGGGGGGGUGAUGGCCUACCAAGGCGGCGAGGGGUAGCCGGCCUGAGUGGGUGGACGGCCACAUUGGGACUGAGAUGCGGCCCAGACACCUACGGGAGGCAGCAGUGGGGAAGAUUGCAGAAUGGGCGCAAGCCUGAUGCAGCGAGGCCGCGGGGGGGAUGACGGCCUUCGGGUUGAAAACCCCUUUCGCUAGGGGCGAAGCUUUUUGUGACGGUACCUAGAUAAGAAGCACCGGCUAACUACGUG
rnacentral:rRNA from 1 species